rnacentral:rRNA from 1 species
UUUAAUUGAAGAGUUUGAUCAUGGCUCAGAUUGAACGCUGGCGGCAGGCCUAACACAUGCAAGUCGAGCGGUAACAGAGAGAAGCUU